rnacentral:rRNA from 1 species
UACAGAGGUCCCAAGCGUUGUUCGGAUUCACUGGGCGUAAAGGGUGCGUAGGCGGUCGGAUAAGUCUGAUGUGAAAUCUUCGAGCUCAACUCGGAAACUGCAUCGGAAACUAUUCGGCUGGAGGAUUGGAGGGGAGACUGGAAUUCUCGGUGUAGCAGUGAAAUGCGUUGAUAUCCUAAGGAACACCAGUGGCGAAGGCGGCUCACUGGUCCGGUACUGACGCUGAGGUGCGAAAGCGUGGGGAGCAAACAGG